CGCCUGUUUAUCAAAGACAUGUCUGUUUGAAGUUAUAAAAAGUUUAACCUGCCCACUGAUUAAUAGUAUUAAAUGGCCGCGGUAUUUUGACCGUGCAAAGGUAGCAUAAUCGUUAGUUUUUUAAUUGGAAUCUUGUAUGAAUGGUUGGACAAAAGAAGAUCUGUCUUUGUAUUGCUUAUUGAAUUUUACUUUUAAGUGAAAAGGCUUAAAUGUAUUAAAGGGACGAUAAGACCCUAUAAAGCUUAAUAUUAAAUUUUAUAUAGUCAAAUUUUAAAUUAUAAAGAUUUUGUAAAUUGAAUUUAUUUUAUUGGGGCGAUAAGAGUAAAAUGAUUAUUAACUGCUUAACAUUAAGUACACUUAUAUGUGAUUAAAAUUUUAAAUGAUCCUAAUUAAAGAUUAAAAGUUUAAGUUACUUUAGGGAUAACAGCGUUAUUUUUCUUAAGAGUACUUAUCGAAAGAAAAGUUUGCGACCUCGAUGUUGAAUUAAAAUAUCUUUAUAAUUGCAGCAGUUAUAUAAGUAGGUCUGUUCGACCUUUAAAAUUUUACAUGAUCUCAGUUCAGACCGG
rnacentral:rRNA from 1 species